AUUGAACGCUGGCGGCAUGCCUUACACAUGCAAGUCGAACGGCAGCACGGGAGCAAUCCUGGUGGCGAGUGGCGAACGGGUGAGUAAAGUAUCGGAACGUGCCCAGUCGUGGGGGAUAACGUAGCGAAAGUUACGCUAAUACCGCAUACGAUCUAUGGAUGAAAGCGGGGGAUCGCAAGACCUCGUGCGAUUAGAGCGGCCGAUGGCUGAUUAGCUAGUUGGUGAGGUAAAGGCCCACCAAGGCAACGAUCAGUAGCAGGUCUGAGAGGAUGAUCUGCCACACUGGAACUGAGAAACAGUCCAGACUCCUACGGGAGGCAGCAGUGGGGAAUUUUGGACGAUGGGGGCAACCCUGAUCCAGCAAUGCCGCGUGAGUGAAGAAGGCCUUCGGGUUGUAAAGCUCUUUUGUCAGUGAAGAAAACUUUAAUAAUAACACUAUUAAAGCAUGACGGUAACUGAAGAAUAAGGACCGGCUAACUACGUGCCAGCCGCCGCGGUAA
rnacentral:rRNA from 1 species